rnacentral:rRNA from 1 species
UACGAAGGGGGCUAGCGUUGUUCGGAAUUACUGGGCGUAAAGCGCACGUAGGCGGGUGGUUAAGUCAGGGGUGAAAUCCCGGAGCUCAACUCCGGAACUGCCUUUGAUACUGGCCAUCUAGAGAUCGGAAGAGGUGAGUGGAAUUCCCAGUGUAGAGGUGAAAUUCGUAGAUAUUGGGAAGAACACCAGUGGCGAAGGCGGCUCACUGGUCCGAUACUGACGCUGAGGUGCGAAAGCGUGGGGAGCAAAC